CCACCUCGUUCGAUCCUCCCGCCUCGUACAACAACCAUCGUUCGGUGUCCCACACGCCCGCAUAAAAUCCAGCCCGCAAGCCCACGUACCAUCGAUACUGCCUUCCUCUCAUCCCCGACCGCGUUGGACGUGGCCCAGAAACCAGCCCACACUUCCUCCCAUCCCCGAUCGAACACAGAGAGAAAAAAAACUGUCGCUAACACACACUCACGUCUCCGCCUCCCCCCAACUCCCAACUCCCAACUCGCUCCCGAUCCCGACCCCAUCUCUCUCCAGGAAAAGUCGCCGCCACCGCCGGCUGUGUUCGUCGCCCCGCCACCGAUCCAUCCGCUGCCACGCGCCUUCUGGAUCAAGGUGAGGGAUGCCUCCCGUCCCGUGCGCCCGCCUUGGAAGAGAGAUGGGGGAGAGAAAGAGAGAGAUAAGAGAGAGGGAAGAGCGGACAGCGGCGGCGCUGGCCUAAUCGCCGACAGAGGAAGAUGAGGUCAUGGUUCCAAAGCGUGGCGGGUCGGCGCUGCUGAUUCAUGGCUGUCGACUUCCUUGUUUGAUUUUGGCUGCGGGCGCGGCGCACCUUGCCUUCAUGUCACCAAGAAGGUCUGCAGUCCAUCAUCAUCCGACGUAAACUUCAGGGCGGCCACCAGAAAGAUCCUGAUAUGCCGCCAUUAUGCAGGAGCUCUCGGUUAUGGUUAGGAUAUUUUUUUUGGAUAAUCCUGGUCUGAAAGCUUGUGCAGAAGGAAAAAUCUGCUUCCCAAUCAGGCAGUUCAUCAACAACAAUGCCAAGAUUAAGUUCAACAAGGAAGCCAAACAACUUUUUACAGUGUACACUCUCACAAGUAUUAUGGCCUGGUAAACAAGAAGGCAGCCAACUACUCAUAAAGAGAAACCGAUAAGGAGAUCUGGACAUAUAAGGUGAUUAUCGCUUCUCUUUGAUUUCUUUCAGCAUGAACGUAGAUGUGCACAUUCAGAUAACUUUUAUUGUCCGUGUUGCUUGAAUACAAAUUUUAUUAUCUGUUCAUCUUUCUAACUUUAACCAGUGGUUUGGCUGUAGACCGACAACAAACUGUAGUACAAUAAAUCAGGCAAUUAAUUUAUUGUUUUACCGCAUUCUGGUAUCAACUACUAAGGAAAGUAGUACAAUAAACAAUUUUGGCUUGCAUCGAUUUUUCUUGUUACUAUGCCUUUUUUAAAAGGACAGAUUAGUUUUAAAGUUAGUUUUAUUUUUCAUCAUUUGACAUGUUAAUAUUUUUGUCGUGUACUGAUAUACUCUCUCCAUCCCAAAAUAAGCAUCUUUGAUUUAGUAGAUGCUUAUUUUGGGAUGGAGGGAGUGCUUGCCUUGCAUUUUUCCUUUCUUUUGGUGCUGGUAAGAACAAAUGUCGGUUGAUAUGCUCUUGUUAUGGCCCUGCUAAGUACAAUUAACUUUGUUUUAAAAAAUCACACAUAUAUUCUGAUUCAUAAUAGCAUUGUAGGCAAAGGGUUGGAACACGUGGUGUUUAAAAUUUAGACAACAAUUUUCAGUAUAGUAUUCCGAGGACUACUAGAUGGUUUAAGGUGGCAGCUUCAGAUCCCAAAAAUGUGUGUGAGGAGUCUCCAGACGCGCGCUACAGGCUACAUCCUUAGGUUUGGUCGUCUCUUCUAGCUUAAUCGUGUUUAGACCAUUCCAUUAGUGGUACUCCCUCCGUUCGUUUUUAUAAGGCAUUUAAGGCAGCUGGUUUUUAACUGUUUAGAACACUGUGUGAACAGGCUUGAACGUCUUAUAUAAGUGAACAGAGGGAGUAGUAGUUAUCACGAGGAAUCCCUCAUAUCUGGAUUGAGAAUUUGCUACUAUGAGAUUUUCAUCCGUGCCGUGCUCUGCUCAAUUGGCAUAUUAGGCAACCUGUACAUGGCCAAAAAAGCGCUGACCGCCGAAUCUCGUCCUCGAGCAAGCUUAGGAAUUGAAGAUACCUAGACUCCCAUGAGGUGGGUAUCAUCGGGUAAAGCUAUGUUAUGAACAGCGACAACUCAUAUGAGGAUGCCGAGGAGAUCAAUUGGAUUCCUUUAUUGUUAUUGUUGCACGACAAUAUCUGUUAUUGUCGCUAUUGUUAGAAAAAAUAUCCCAACGUACACAAUGUAUUUGCCAAUGUAACAUCAUGAUUAAUCUCAAUCUGGGACAAUGCAUUAUUUUCUAAAUAUAGUCAAACAUCACCGGAUAUAUACUUUGAACAAUCAAAGGAACAUGCUACCAGUAGGAAGAAAACAUGCUUGCAUUUUCUUAGAUGGUAUAUAGGACCUGAAUACUAAUUGUCGGACUGCCGACGUACUAUGUAUAUUGUAACAGAACUACGUGGAUGAUAAUGUCAUUAGAAAAACUUGAAAGAAUUACGGUGGCUGUUAGUUUGCUCGAAGUGAGUAUACACUACAAUGCUUCUCAUAGCUUUAUACUUCUAUGAUGCAAACUUAUGUAUUCUGGAGUUUGUUUGUUUUUUUGCUAGGGAACUUUGAAGCAUGUGGUUGAAGUAAAUCUACAUUCUGAGAAAGAAUUUGCAUAUUCAGGAGAAGGACUGCAAACAUAGUGCUUGCUUUGUUAAGAUUUUUAUGUUCUCAAGGAUGUUAAAGGGUUCCUCCUGAGAAUCAAGAGGACAAGCUUGAACUCAAGCUGCCUCUUCACACAAAAGUGCUUGAACGUAAGAUGCUCCUCCAGAGUCAUUUGGCAGAUAUAGAAAUAAGAUUUUAUGAGAAGUAACCUAAAGGUCAAAUGUGUUUUGUAGUAACUGUACCUCUUCUGUUAUCUUUUUUUUCUUUAUGAUUGGGAGUAGUAUAUGUUGUUUUAGAGGGUCUAUUUUUCAGAAAAUAAGAUUCUGUUCUUUUGUUUC